rnacentral:rRNA from 1 species
GACAGAGGUGCCGAGCGUUAGGCGGAAUCACUGGGCUUAAAGCGUGUGUAGGCGGACCCAUAAGUACCUUGUGAAAUCCCACGGCUCAACCGUGGAACGGCUGGGUAUACUGCGGGUCUUUGAGCGGCCUAGGGGCAGACGGAACAAGUGGUGGAGCGGUGAAAUGCGUAGAUAUCACUUGGAACGCCGACGGUGAAAACAGUCUGCUGGGGGCCUGCUGACGCUGAGACACGAAAGCCAGGGGAGCGAACGGG